rnacentral:rRNA from 1 species
GAUGAACGCUGGCGGCGUGCCUAAUACAUGCAAGUCGAGCGAACGGACGAGAAGCUUGCUUCUCUGAUGCUAGCGGCGGACGGGUGAGUAACACGUGGAUAACCUACCUAUAAGACUGGGAUAACUUCGGGAAACCGGAGCUAAUACCGGAUAAUAUUUUGAACCGCAUGGUUCAAAAGUAAAAGACGGUCUUGCUGUCACUUAUAGAUGGAUCCGCGCUGCAUUAGCUAGUUGGUAAGGUAACGGCUUACCAAGGCAACGAUGCAUAGCCGACCUGAGAGGGUGAUCGGCCACACUGGAACUGAGACACGGUCCAGACUCCUACGGGAGGCAGCAGUAGGGAAUCUUCCGCAAUGGGCGAAAGCCUGACGGAGCAACGCCGCGUGAGUGACGAAGGUCUUCGGAUCGUAAAACUCUGUUAUUAGGGAAGAACAUAUGUGUAAGUAACUGUGCACAUCUUGACGGUACCUAAUCAGAAAGCCACGGCUAACUACGUG